CCUACGGGAGGCAGCAGUGAGGAAUAUUGGUCAAUGGGCGGGAGCCUGAACCAGCCAAGUCGCGUGAGGGAAGACGGUCCUACGGAUUGUAAACCUCUUUUGCCGGGGAGCAACGGGGUCCUUGCGAGGGCCCGAUGAGAGUACCCGGAGAAAAAGCAUCGGCUAACUCCGUGCCAGCAGCCGCGGUAAUACGGAGGAUGCGAGCGUUAUCCGGAUUUAUUGGGUUUAAGGGGAGCGUAGACGGGUAUGUAAGUCUGGAGUGAAAGCCCGGGGCCCAACCCCGGGACUGCUUUGGAAACUGUGUAACUGGAGUACAGGAGGGGCAGGCGGAAGUCGUGGUGUAGCGGUGAAAUGCGUAGAUAUCAGGAGGAACACCGGCGGCGAAGGCGGCCUGCUGGACUGAAACUGACGUUGAGGCUCGAAAGCGUGGGGAGCAAACAGGAUUAGAUACCCGGGUAGUC
rnacentral:rRNA from 1 species